AACGAACGCUGGCGGCAUGCCUAACACAUGCAAGUCGAACGAGACCUUCGGGUCUAGUGGCGCACGGGUGGGUAACGCGUGGGAACCUGCCCUUAGGUUCGGAAUAAAUCCCCGAAAGGGGUGCUAAUACCGGAUAAUGUCUUCGGACCAAAGAUUUAUCGCCUUUGGAUGGGCGCGCGUUGGAUUAGCUAGUUGGUAGGGUAAAAGCCUAUCAAGGCGAGGUUCCAUAGCUGGUCUGAGAGAAUGAUCAGCGACACUGGGGCUGAGACACGGCCCAGACUCUUACGGAAUGCAGCAGUGGGUGAUACAGGAAAAUGGGCUAAGGCCAGAUCCAGCAAUGCCGCGUAAGUGAUGAAGGUCGUAGGGUUGUAAAGCUCUUUUAUCCGGGAUGAUAAUGACAGUACCGGGAGAAUAAGCACCGGCUAACUCCGUG
rnacentral:rRNA from 1 species